rnacentral:sRNA from 1 species
UGUUAAAAUAUCGGUUCCUACUUGAAC